CUCUACAGAACAGCUUGGUCCUCAUCCCAAAGAACAUCACAUGUCCAUCCUACCAAUCCGUAAUCAAAGGCUUAAAUGGCAAAUUCCCAAAGCUGAAGCCUGACAUACAGAAAUAUGUUUAUACAUCACUCAUCAAGACGUAUCUCUCCCAAAAUGGAUCUGCAUGUUCGUUAAAUGUUAACAGCAGCACUUGGAUAGAA